rnacentral:rRNA from 1 species
UACGUAGGUGGCAAGCGUUAUCCGGAUUUACUGGGCGUAAAGGGCGUGUAGGCGGGAGAGCAAGUCAGACGUGAAAUUCCAGGGCUCAACCCUGGAACUGCGUUUGAAACUGUUCUUCUUGAGUGAUGGAGAGGCAGGCGGAAUUCCGUGUGUAGCGGUGAAAUGCGUAGAGAUUAGGAAGAACACCAGUGGCGAAGGCGGUUCUCUGGACUGUAACUGACGCUGAGGCUCGAAAGCGUGGGGAGCAAACAGG